CUUGCUAGACUGUCAGCUAAGUGGCGCACGGGUGAGUAAUAUAUAGGUAACCUACCCCGAAGAGCGGGAUAACAGUUGGAAACGGCUGCUAAUACUGCAUACUCCUUUUGACCACAAGGUUGAAAGGGAAACGAAUUUUGCUUCGGGAUGGGCCUUUAUCGCAUCAGCUAGUUGGUAAGGUAAUGGCUUACCAAGGCUUUGACGCGUAGCUGAUCUGAGAGGAUGAUCAGCCACACUGGUACUGAGACACGGACCAGACUCC
rnacentral:rRNA from 1 species